rnacentral:misc_RNA from 1 species
GCCUAUCAGCAGUAUAUUGUCAUAUCUUCUUUGCGGCCUCAAUAUCGAUAUCUAGGAGAUGUUGCAAUUCCCUACGCUACAGGAGCUGUUUGGCACCGGAGACAACUUUUUGUGGCUACACCAACUACUAUUGAAUGUGUUUUUGUGGAUGCUGGAGUUGCAGCGAUUGAUAUAGAAACAAGAAGAAUGAAAGAAGAGAUGAGAAUGAAAGAGGCACAGGCCAGAGCAGUCGUUGAACAUGGAGAGUUAGCCCUAAUCACAGUAGAAGGUCCACAAACUACUACACAAGAGAGAAUAAAACUAAGGCCACCUAUGCUACAGGUGGUUCGUUUAGCUUCUUUUCAGCAUGUUCCUUCUGUGCCACCUUUCUUGACAUUGCCAAAGCA